GGUGAGGUAGCCAAGAUGGUCAAGGCACUUGUCUGAAGAACAAGUAGAGUAAAUUGAUCUAUUGUGAUAUAAUUAGGUGACUAAUUUUCACUA
rnacentral:tRNA from 1 species